UUUAGGGCUAUAUAAAUAAACAUUGAUUGAUUGAUUGAUUGAAAAAAUGGCAGAAGACCGGAACUCGAGAGUGAUUUUGGCUUGUGUGUGUCUUGUUUGCUCCGGAGUGACAUGUGGUCUGUCUGCACGGCCAACUCAAUUCAACCUGCACUUCUGAUAAUGGGUAAAUAAAUUUGUUGUACUAAACUACUUUUGUUGCCUGUUUAAGCUUCGGACAAUCCACUACACAAAUUGGCGUCACGAACAGGAUGGUUUAGAAGCUACAGGUCGACAGCCGCUCCCGCUCUCUCUGUCAGUCAGACAGUGUGCUGCACGCGCGCAUAACAAGUCACAAGAUCAGCACUUCUCAGGACCAGCAGCUUCCUAGGAAGGUGGAAAGACCAUGAGACCAAAAUGGUAAGUUUGCAAAAUGUAGAAUUUGUGUGCCAGUUCCUCUGUGCAGAUUUGAGGAUGAAAACAGCCACUCCAGAUUCCCUUGCACUCGCUAAGAGGGGCACGGUCAAAGCCGAUCCAGGACCAACACCCGAUACCUGACUGGAAGGAACCGAGAGGAGAGACAACACCUUGCCAGCGAUGACGAGAACAACUAAGGUUGCCAGCCAAUGGGUCCACCGGGACUCCAGCAGCUGUGGAAAGAAGUGUCGGGAGUGCCGAAGCAGCGAGGAGGCCUGAAGCAAGCCGAGGACCUGGACCAAAGCCCCAUGCCCCAUACUCUGCCCCAGCCUUCCCCAAAGCCCCCACAGCUUUUUCGGCCAGCAUGCACAUGCCAUUGCACAGUCUGCCCAAUGGACUGAACCACACCCCAAGAAGAGACAGAGACAGACUGUUUGAGUGGAUCUCUUUCUUCACCAGGGCAGCCGAAAGCCCAACGAGGUGUCGGCAGGCCAUCAGCCUGAGGCACCACCGAGCCAUCUAUACGAGCACUAAUCGAACAUGGACUCAUACGAAAUUCAGUUGUGUGUUCAAAAUCAAUUGAUAAUUAACAAUAUUGGUAACUACAUUCAUUGCAAAAGCCGGGAAAAAUAUUUUUGCAAAUGUCUUACAGUCAUAAGUCUAUAUACAUUCAUCUAUUUAUGUUCAAUGAUGUUCAUGAUCAAAGUAUGUGUUAUUCCUUUACUAAAUCAAAGGGUAGGCCACUAAUUGUGUUCUGUGAGAUGGUUUUACUGCAGGCUGGUAACAGCGAUCGCUCUGAAGGAGGGUCAUAGACGGAAUUUUUGCCUCGUAUAAAAACAUUGAGGUUUUUGCCUCUAUCUGCGGUAGAGAUUUAAUUUAGUGGUCUAUAUCAGAAAUUGUUUUGGUCCAGGGUCUUAAGACCCUGAAAGGCGGGUAUGUAGUAGAAUUUCUGACCUUUGACCUAUAGUUCAUGUCUGUCAAAAAUGUAUGCUCAUUUUGAUUUCUCUUCCUCUUCUGUGGGACAAAAGUGAAUUUUAAGUCGUGCCAACCUGUCUACAGAAUGUGUUGACUGUCUAAAGGAUUCGAGUUGUUAUGGAACAGAUAGGGAAAAGAUAGAAGACUGACGCAUUAGAUAACAAACAAUGACGCACAACUGCUGGUGUUGGUCCAAUGUGUUCCAUCAAGUCCAGAGUCAAUGCAGCUGUGUACCAAGAGAUUUUAGAGCACUACAUGCUGUUGAAAAGCUCUAUGGAGAUGAUGAUUUCAUUUUCCAGCAUGAUCCAGCAGUGCCAAAACCACCAGUAACUGGUGUACUGACCAUGGCAUUACUGUCCUCGAUUGGCCUGCCAACUCCCCUGACCUGAACCCCAUAGAGAAUUUGUGGGGUAUUGUGAAGAAGAAGCUGAAAGACACCAGACCCAAUUAUUCAAAUGAGCUAAAGGCCGCUAUUGAAGCAUCCUGGGCAUCCAUAACACCUCAGCAAUGCCACAGGCUGAUUGCCUCCAUGCCACGCCGCAUUGAUGCAGUAAUCCAUGCAAAAGGAUUCCCAACCAAGUACUGAGUGCAUUAAUUGACAUUUUCAAAUGUUUGAUUUUGUUUUGCUGUUAUAAAUCUUUAUUUUUUACUUGGUCUGAGGAAAUAUUCUAAUUUUUUGAGAUGGGAUUUUUGAGUUUUCUUAAGCUGUAUGCCAUAAUCAGCAAUAUUAAAAUAAUAAAAGGCUUGCAAUAUUUCA